GCGUGGAGCCGACCUUGAAAUACCACCCUUUAAUGUUUGAUGUUCUAACGUGGACCCGUUACCCGGGUUGCGGACAGUGUCUGGUGGGUAGUUUGACUGGGGCGGUCUCCUCCUAAAGAGUAACGGAGGAGCACGAAGGUUGGCUAAUCCUGGUCGGACAUCAGGAGGUUAGUGCAAUGGCAUAAGCCAGCUUGACUGCGAGCGUGACGGCGCGAGCAGGUGCGAAAGCAGGUCAUAGUGAUCCGGUGGUUCUGAAUGGAAGGGCCAUCGCUCAACGGAUAAAAGGUACUCCGGGGAUAACAGGCUGAUACCGCCCAAGAGUUCAUAUCGACGGCGGUGUUUGGCACCUCGAUGUCGGCUCAUCACAUCCUGGGGCUGAAGUAGGUCCCAAGGGUAUGGCUGUUCGCCAUUUAAAGUGGUACGCGAGCUGGGUUUAGAACGUCGUGAGACAGUUCGGUCCCUAUCUGCCGUGGGCGCUGGAGAACUGAGGGGGGCUGCUCCUAGUACGAGAGGACCGGAGUGGACGCAUCACUGGUGUUCGGGUUGUCAUGCCAAUGGCACUGCCCGGUAGCUAAAUGCGGAAGAGAUAAGUGCUGAAAGCAUCUAAGCACGAAACUUGCCCCGA
rnacentral:rRNA from 1 species